rnacentral:rRNA from 1 species
GUACGCUGGCGGCACGCCUAACACAUGCAAGUCGAACGCAGUAGCAAUACUGAGUGGCAAACGGGUGAGUAUAAUGUGGGAAUCUGCCUUUUGGUUUGGAAUAACACGGGGAAACUUGUGCUAAUACCGAAUAAGCCUUUACAGGGAAAGUUUUAAUGCCGAAAGAUGAGCCCGCACUUGAUUAGCUAGUUGGUAAGGUAAAAGCUUACCAAGGCAAUGAUCAAUAGCUGUUCUUAGAGGAAGACCAGCCACAUUGGGACUGAGACACGGCCCAGACUCCUACGGGAGGCAGCAGUGGGGAAUCUUGCACAAUGGGGGAAACCCUGAUGCAGCGAUGCCGCGUGAGUGAAGAAGGCCCUUGGGUUGUAAAACUCUUUCGUCGGGGAAGAAAAUGACUGUACCCGAAUAAGAAGGUCCGG